rnacentral:misc_RNA from 1 species
GAUGAAGAACGCAGCGAAAUGCGAUAAGUAAUGUGAAUUGCAGAAUUCAGUGAAUCAUCGAAUCUUUGAACGCGCAUUGCGCCCCCUGGUAUUCCGGGGGGCAUGCCUGUCCGAGCGUCAUUACAACCCUCAAGCUCAGCUUGGUGUUGGGCCCCGCCGCCCCGGCGGGCCCUAAAGUCAGUGGCGGUGCCGUCCGGCUCCGAGCGUAGUAAUUCUUCUCGCUCUGGAGGUCCGGUCGUGUGCUCGCCAGCAACCCCCAAUUUUUUUCAGGUUGACCUCGGAUCAGGUAGGGAUACCCGCUGAACUUAAGCAUAUCAAUAAGCGGAGGA